rnacentral:tRNA from 6 species
GGGCGCAUAGCUCAGCGGUAGAGCACUACCUUGACAUGGUAGGGGUCACAGGUUCGAUCCCUGUUGCGCCCACCA